AUUGAACGCUGGCGGCAGGCUUAACACAUGCAAGUGGAGCGAGCGGCGGACGGGUGAGUAAUGUCUGGGCAACUGCCUGAUGGAGGGGGAUAAAUCCUGGAAACGGUAGCUCAUACCGCAUAACAUCAGAUGUGCCCAGAUGGGAUUAGCUAGUAGGUGGGGUAAUGGCGCACCUAGGCGACGACCCCUAGCUGGUCUGAGAGGAUGACCAGCCACACUGGAACUGAGACACGGUCCAGACUCCUACGGGAGGCAGCAGUGGGGAAUAUUGCACAAUGGGCGCAAGCCUGAUGCAGCCAUGCCGCGUGUGUGAAGAAGGCCUUCGGGUUGUAAAGCACUUUCAGCGGGGAGGCGUUACUCGCAGAAGAAGCACCGGCUAACUACGUGCCAGCAGCCGCGGUAAUAC
rnacentral:rRNA from 1 species